ensembl:snRNA U4 U4 spliceosomal RNA
UGUCUUUCGCAGAGGCGAUAUCGUAGCCUGUGAGGUUAAUCUGAGGCGUGAUCAUUGCUGGUUGAAAACUUUACCCUAAAUGUGGAGGUGAAAUUUCCCCAAUGUGGGACUAGUACAGGUCACUUACUCAAUGUUAAUAUUGUAUUUCAUAUAUUAGCGUCAGGUAACUUUGUACCAAACUACCCUUU